rnacentral:rRNA from 1 species
GCGGCAGCGGGAAAUAGCUUGCUACUUUUGCCGGCGAGCGGCGGACGGGUGAGUAAUGCCUGGGAAAUUGCCCAGUCGAGGGGGAUAACAGUUGGAAACGACUGCUAAUACCGCAUACGCCCUACGGGGGAAAGCAGGGGACCUUCGGGCCUUGCGCGAUUGGAUAUGCCCAGGUGGGAUUAGCUAGUUGGUGAGGUAAUGGCUCACCAAGGCGACGAUCCCUAGCUGGUCUGAGAGGAUGAUCAGCACACUGGAACUGAGACACGGUCCAGACUCCUACGGGAGGCAGCAGUGGGGAAUAUUGCACAAUGGGGGAAACCCUGAUGCAGCCAUGCCGCGUGUGUGAAGAAGGCCUUCGGGUUGUAAAGCACUUUCAGCGAGGAGGAAAGGUUGAUGCCUAAUACGCAUCAACUGUGACGUUACUCGCAGAAGAAGCACCGGCUAACUCCGUGCCAGCAGCCGCGGUAAUACGGAGGGUGCAAGCGUUAAUCGGAAUUACUGGGCGUAAAGCGCACGCAGGCGGUUGGAUAAGUUAGAUGUGAAAGCCCCGGGCUCAACCUGGGAAUUGCAUUUAAAACUGUCCAGCUAGAGUCUUGUAGAGGGGGGUAGAAUUCCAGGUGUAGCGGUGAAAUGCGUAGAGAUCUGGAGGAAUACCGGUGGCGAAGGCGGCCCCCUGGAC